ensembl:lncRNA
CUUCUUGUUGCUGGGAAUAAAGACUGUCAAGGCCAAGAUCCUUGUGACUUUCCUUCUUUGUUUACAGUCCCACCUCCAAGCCAGCAGCCCCAUCUACAAAGCAAUGUGCUGGCAUGUGGCCAGCUGGGCCGGCACCCCCAGCAGUCAGCUUUCUGAGGGAUGAAGUCAGAGGCUGGGGUCCAAUCUGCUGAGCUGUGCUGUCGAUGUCAGGAUCUUUUGUGAGGCUGCUGGACCGCUUUCCAUGGUUGGUGAGGAAGCAAGAGCAGUGGGUAAUGAGUUGGCUGUGCCAUAAAUCCCCCGGCACCUGAGCCAACCUCCCUUCCAUUCAUCUCAGCUCUGCUGACCCUGAUGCUGACAUGAGGCCAUGUGCUGCCCGGGCCAAGGGCAAGGAAAGAACAGCAUGUCAGCCAAGGGCAUGGGAAGGGGGCAGGACAGUCCUCAAACUGGAGAAACGGUGAGAGAACCAGGAGGGCUGUGUGGGGACUGUUUACACAGCAGCAGGCAGUGAUGCGGUGACAGCAAGCAAUUCGGCAUGGAUGUGUUCCGACCGAGCACUACGGGUCUGGAUGGAGAGCAGGGCCUUCAGACAGACCACGUGGGGCAGCCCUUCCGGGGGAAGUGGUUUGAUUGGACCCUGCAGAAAACUGAGAAGCUGCCAGAGGGCCCACAGGGGAGCAGGACCUGCAGUCACACCUAAGAGCUCAACACUUAGAGACGUCCCCACUUGGAACAAACGGCAGAACCACGUCCUUCCCUCUCCAAAGGCUGAUGGACUCGGAGACUGGUGAGGUCCAGGGGAUUCACAGCAGAUCUUCUUUGGUUCUCAGGUUCUGUCAUCCAUCCUGAUGCUCCUGUGGUAAGCAUCUGACAGUGGUGAAAUGAUCGGUUAACUUUUAUAGGACUGGUAUUUUGAUCAGACUUUUAUCUUGAAUUUUACACUACCUAAUAUAUUUGUUGCUGUUCAAUUGGUAAGUCCUGUCUGACUCUUUGUGACCCCAUGGACUGCAACACGCCAGGCUUCCCUGUCCUUCACUAUCUCCUGGAGUUUGCUCAAACUCAUGUCCAUCGGUGAUGCCAUCCAACUGUCUCAUCCUCUGUUGUCCCCUUCUCCUCCUGCCUUCAACCUUUCCCAGCAUCAGGGUCUUUUCCAGUGUCAAUUCUUUGCAUUAGGUGGCCAAAGUAUUGGAGCUUCAGUUUCAGCAGCAGUCCUUCCAAUGAAUAUUCAGGGUUGUUU